rnacentral:sRNA from 1 species
GCUGGGUGAGGUGGUGCACACCUGUAAUCCCAGCUACUUGGGAGUCUAAGGCAGGAGAAUUGCAAGUUCAGUAUCAGUCUAGGCAAGACCUUCAUUAGU